UGUUCCGCUUUGUCCCGAAAGCUUUAAAAGCAGCGCAGAUCCCCCAGAAGCAAGUGAGAAAAGAGGCCUGGCUUCUCUGGGGCGAGCGUUUCGGGGGCCCUCCACCUCGUCUGCACAGAAGGGCCUCCUGAGGCCAGGCCGAGGUCACAGAAACGCGUCCUGUCUGAUGCAGGACCGCCAACCAGAAGGCGCUUCCGGCGCUGGUGCUAGCGGGCCAUCUGGGGUCCCCAAGGCUGAGUGUCUGCACACGGUGUUACCUGUCUGUCCCCAAGAUGUAACUGGACGUCCACCCAGGAGCUGCGGACGGGCGAUAAAUCAGCUGCUUUAGAGAGGAAGCCAUCGAGGGAGUUCCUGUUGUGGCUCAGUGGGUUAAGAACCCGACUAGGGUCCCUGAGGACACAGGU